GAAGUCAGCAUCGAUUAUCCAGUGAUGGGAGGGGCCAGCCUGGGACUCCCCAGCACAGACCCCUGGGAAUGAGCGCUCGGCUCCUGACCACAUACACGGCUCUAUUAUCUACAGCUUCGUGCCCGGUGCUGCCUGGGGCACUGAGGCGGGGCGGGAUGUCUCCCAGGCUGGGUCCCAGGAAGCCGGGGCAUCGCCUGCCGCUCUCGUCCACACUGGCGAUGGCUGGGAGCUGCUGGGCACGUUUGGAGGGGAGAAGAGAACCCUGGGCCACGGGAAGACCACGGUCAAGGCUUUGCAGGGAUGUCGGGCAAAGGAGGGAUUCGCCUCAUUCUGUUCGGCUCAGACUCGCUCCGAAUUCUCCCCACCACGGAAAAGGGUGGUCGGUGAGCCCAAAGCAAACCUCGGGGAACACGGGCUUCGCUCUAGAGCCGGGCCGGAGGCAGCUCGAAGGGUUUAAGAGCACGAGAGGGGUCGAGGCUCUCUUCUGGCCCAGACGGAGUGCAGACGGAGCACUCUAGGUGAAUCCCGGGGAAGAGAAAAGGGCUUUUCCGGGAACUCCAAGGGCCCAAGCGGCAUAGGGCUGCCUCCCCUCCGCUUUCUGGCCUUAGGCCGGAAGAAGGUUCAGACCGACUGGACGGAGGGCCAGUCCCCACCAAGACGGCAGGCUCGGAGAGCCAGGGACCCAGCUUCCUGGAAAGUCUCAAAAUGGCGGCCAGCAAGGACCCCUCCCCCCGGAAGUCAUGGAGGCCCACCCAGCCCUUUCCUCAUUUGGGGAGCAAGGACGCAAGGCAGACGCUGCGGCUCCUACCCUUCUCUUUAUCCGUUUGUCAGACUGGCCCGGGGCCUCGAAGGACGGAGCCAUUUAUAAUGUCAAAUCCAGAGGAAUACUGAGAGAGCUUCCAAGAAUGUAUUUCACUUCUGCCAGCUUCGGGAGGGGGGAGGGGAGAGCGGGCGGGGAGCCGCGAUGGAGGGGCUCGCCGGCCAGUUUCCAUUUUGGUUUUGCCAAAGGAAACAUCAUAAACAUUCCCCAAAGAGCUGGUGGAACCCGAACACUUUCUACUGCGAGGAGGAGCCGGGCGGAUGGACGACAAACUCAUCAUCUCUCUUCUGUUAUGAUUCACACAGGAAGCCUUUCCCCGAGAAAGUCCACACCUGAGCUUGUUCCCCGGCGGAGCCUGGACCGAUCGCUCCGCAAACCCCCAAACCCUACAUAAACGGCAGCCCCUGAGAGGGGGUGGCGGGGGGAGGCAGAGCCGCCCCCCAGGGAGAUCCGAGUUGGGGUCACUUACUGGGUUUGUGUCCCGGGGCAAGUGGAGUGACCCUCCGGGGCCACGCAGGAGGGCAGAGGUGGGCCUGCACCCCCUGCUCGGGCGAGCCCUGCCCUCACCUAAGAGCACCUACCACGGGCCGGCCAGCCAGGCAGGGAGAAAUGGGGCGGAGCCCAGGCUGGAAGCCCGCUGCCUACCAGGAACAUCCCCAAUGCCUGCUGGGGCUGCCUAUUCCCCCUCAGGGGUCCUCUUCAGGGCGGGGCUCACAGGCCGAGGCUCCCUCUUGUGUUCACCAGAACUGGAGGUGGCACAGCGCCAGGCACCGGAGGGGGCCUUCAUGAAUGGCUACUCGUGUGGAUGGAUCCCGGAGAGCGCAGGUAGGUAGAGACCUCCCAGGGCUCAUCCAGCUCUAACCGGGGGACCCGGAAUCUCCCGGUUGGAAGGAAUCUCUGGGGCUAAGGAAUGGGGAGAGACAGACAGACAGAGAGACAGACGGAGAGGCAGACGUGCAGACAGACACACAGACAGUCAGUACAGGCACCCGGCCCUUCCCAGGAGAAGAUUCCGAGGAGGCUGCUUGCGGGGCGGCCCUGUGGCUGGGAGGAGUCGGAGAGGGGCCGAUGCUGAAGGGAGGCUUGGGGAGGGUGUCCGUCAGCCCGUCCGGAGAUGCCAUCUGGGCUGCUUUGGGGCAUCCAUGCCAGGGAGACAAAAAGACAGAUCGGGAAGCCACAAAAAUAAACCUGACGGUUUCCUUGGAAGACGUUUGGCUCCUGAUGCAUCUCUGGUGAACCAUGUUUGAAUCCAGUUUUUGUUUUUUUUAACCCUCAUCUUCCCUCUUGGAGUCAAUACUGUGUAAUGGCUCCAAGGCAGAAGAGCAGGAAGAGCUGGGCAAUGGGGGUCAAGUGACUUGCCCAGGGUCACACAGCUGGGACGUAUCUGAGGUCAAAUUUGAACCCAGGACCGCCUAUCUCUAGGUCUGGUUCUCCAUCCACUGAGUUGCCCCCUUGAAUUCAGUUUUUGACGUUUGCUACCGGUCUGACUCCUGAUAAGUCAUGUAACCCCUCUGCCUCAGUUUCCUCAUCUGCAAAAUGGGAUGACAGCAGCACCUACUCCCAGACUUGGGGUGAGGCUGAGACACUAUGGGACGAGCACGAUGCUAAAUUGAAUGAAAGCGGUUCAGAACACAAAGAUGGAGCUUCUGUUGUUGGGGGAGGGGAAGCGAUGGCCAAGCAUGGGGCUGUUAGGGAGCUCGGAGGCCCCGAGGCCACCCCACACCUGAGCAAGGUCCUCGCAGCAGCAGAAGCAGAGCUGGAUGGCGCGAGAGCAGCCAGCAAACACGGGCUGGGAGGGGCGGGAGCCGCUUGGACCUGUCGGCAGAGCAACGAGUCCGCGUGGUCGUUGUUAAACCAUCCGAUCCCACGUGGCCGAACCGCUGGGACGAGCCAGGGUACACGGAUGAAGGCCGCCGUCUCCCCGCCGAUGGGAGACCCAGCACCUACGAUGGCUCCGCUAUCUGGGGCCAUCCGGCGAGGGCUGGCCAGAUCCACGCUGAAGCCGAAGCUUUCUACCAAACUGACUGGGUGAAGGGAAAUAACUCCCUGUUCCUGGUCGUGAUGGGAGUGGGAGGGAGAAGGAGAAAAAGAAUAUCUCCUGAAAGCAGCCUUUAAAAAAAAUCGAGAGAGCAGCGAGAUAGCUCAGUGCAUUGAGAACCAGGCCUGGAGACAGGCGGUCCUGGGUUCAAAUGUGACCCCAUUCACGACCUAGCUGUUAGACCUUGGGCAAGUCCCUGCCUCAGUUUCCUCAUUUGUAAAAGGGACAAAAUUAUAGUAUCUGCCUUCCAGGAUUGAGGAUAAAAUGAGAUAUUCAUAAAGUGCCUUGCAAACUUUAAAGUACCAUUUACAUGGUAGUUAUUAUUUUUUACUUAUUACUGUGUCUAUGUUAUGGCUCCCCCUCCCCUUGGGAAUGUAAGCCCUUUGAGGGCAGGGACUGCCUCACUUUUUUGUCUUUGUAUUCCAUGUCCUAGGUCUGUGUCUGGCCCUAAAAUACUCACUGAAUGAAUGAAUGAAUGAAUGAAUGAAUGAAUGAAUGAAUGAAUGAAUUCUUUAGCUGUUAUCAUGUUCCCCUGACCAUACUUCAUCACCUUUUAUGGUUGGGAUUUUCAAGAGUGAAGGAAGACAGUUUGGGGGCAACUUAUAUCAUUAAACAUUUAUUAAACACCUACUGUGUGCCAGGCACUGUGCUUAGUGAUGGGGAUACAGAGAAAGGCAGA